rnacentral:lncRNA from 1 species
UGAUGAUUGUGAUCCAUCUAACUCUGACUUUAGGGCAAUGGCACCUCAGCAGACAAAGCGAGCUGGAGGUCACCGACAGCAUCCCAGCAGCUGCAGAAAAUGCCAGGCGACCAGCCAGAUUGGAGCUGCAUUGCCCGAGUCUAUGAAGUGGCUGCAGAGGAUUGCAAUACUUGCGAAUCCCCAAAGAGCUUUCAAAUGUGCCCCCAAAAUAAGAUGUUUAAAUACCUGACAGGCCUAGAGAGCAUGAAGUCAACUUGCAAUGCUACUGAUCAAAUGAGAAUGUUCCUUCGUCCCUUUCCUCUCCUGCCUUCCCCAGUAUAACCAUGACAGGACAAUAAGAUGGGGGACAAGGUUUUGGAAGUAUAAGACAGGGAUAGGAGUAGAGAACAUGGGGCAAGGUGAUUUAAACCUGUGUUUGUGGCCUAAAGUGACCAGGGCAUUUUGUAAUCUAACCAUGAACCAAAAACUUACGAGACUUCCCAAGGUUACAUCUGGGGAGUGGAAGAACUUUUCUCUACUGAAUGAAUUUUAUAAAUACAGUGGGAGGCAGAAGUAAAGAUACUUGUGAAUUAUAUCUCAGGAGUUCUGCUUAUUCAGCACCCUGGUCACAGAGCCACCCCUUUGCUCUGGGCCCCCAGAACAAAGAGGCAGUAGGACACAGGAAGAACAGUGUCCUCAGUGAUCCAGGGACUCAAAGACAGGCCAAUGUGUGAUGUUUUAGCCCCUCCUCUGGCUGCAGUGGCAGGGCUGGGGUCAGAGGGAGGAUGUUAUUGUGGAGAGUGCUGUUUCUUUUGAUGUGCAAGGAGGGGUACUAUGGGCUGAAUGUGUGUCCUCCCAAGUUCAUAUGUUGAAAUCCUAAUACCAAGGUGGUUGUAUUAGGGAGGUGGGGCCUCUGAGAGGUGAUUAGGUUCUGAGGGUAAAGGCCUCAUGAACGGGAUUAGUGAUUUCAUAAAAGAGGCUCCAGAGAGCUGUUUUGCCCAUUCCGCCAUGUUAGGACCAGCGAGAAAGCACCAUCUGUGAACCAGAAAGUGGGCCUUCAUCAGACCCUGAAUCUGCCAGUGCCUUGAUUACGGACCUCCCAACCUCGAGAACUGUAAGAAAUACACUUCUGUUGUUUGUAAACUAUCUGGCUUAUGGUAUUUUGUUAUAGCAGCCCAAAUGGACUAAGACAACGGAUGUUCAGCAGGAUCUGUUGGUCUCUUCUUCAAUGAAUUAUUAAAGGACUGGUAGGUGUUGUGCAUCUGAGGACUGGAAUGCAAU